ensembl:lncRNA
CUCUGUGCUCCUUCAGUGCCUAUGGGAGGAAGCAGGUAGAACUGGGAGUUCUCUCCACCUAGAGCACCAGGCAGGCAGGAGGCAGUCAAGAGCUUCGGCAUUUGCUGCACCUUAAGGGAUGGGGUGAAGGAGCAAAAGCCCAAAGGGCCUCCGGUGAGCAUUCGUGUCAGCCCAGCAGUGCAAGGGGUGAAGCUGGAACCAGGGUGCUUGGGGCCAAAGCCAAUGGGCAUCUUCCCUGGAAGCACAGGGAAGGAGAAACAGUAGGACUUUAUCUUAACUGUGCAAAGCUUCAGCAAGUGAGGGGGGGAAAAAAAGAAAGAGAAGCAUCCCACGUGGUAGAUAGCAGUCAUUUCACUUAGUGCUGCCCCUUGAAAUGCGUUUAGUAGCACUGAAUAGAACAGCGUCAGGAAGGUUAUGCAUAAUACGCAUAGAUCAAUUUCCAUGCAUUGUUUAACUUACUAAAUCUAAUUCUCUUUUCCACCCACUACUCAAUUUAAUUUCCAUGCAUAUAAUGGAUGGAAUACAGCAUUCCCAUGCCAGAGGCUAGCAGAAAGACCAGGUAGAGGUCAGGUGAAUGACUGGAAACAAAACAAAUUACAGAGAGCGCUGAUUGCUUUAUUACAGCUUUUAUCAUCUUGUUUAUAGAAGAAAUAACUUCUGAAGUGAUUGUUGAUGAUUUUAAAUGUUUUCACGUUGUUGGAGCAACAGAACUGCUGUCAUGAUAAAAGAGAAACAUAACACAACCUC